rnacentral:lncRNA from 1 species
UGUCUCAAACAAACAAACAAACAAACAAACUUGGCUGCUAUGUCAAUAAGAUAGGGGUUGUUUGUUAACGCAGCAUAACCUUGUCUAUCUUGGCAUGCCACUGCUGGCUUCCUUCCUCAGACCAGAGCCCCAGCCAGUGAUUAUCACACGUGAAUGGGAGGGGGAGGGCAGAUGAUGAAAGCAGCCCCUCAUUCUCCACCCGAGCCAGGGAAGGGCUCUCCUUGGUGGAAGUGAAUAUAACUGAACCAUUAGCCAAGCCAAUCCAAAGGAGCCAGAGGAAGAUUCCGAAUGAAGCAGAUUCUAUUACCAGCUACUCUGAGGCUGUCCCACCAGCAUCUUGGUGCCUGGACUGGAACCAGUCACUGGAUGCAGAAAUAUUCCAGUUUUUCUGCCUGGCCUAGGGUAUGAAUGUUAAUCUGAGAUUACGGUGUGUUUUGGAGGGUUUUAAUAUUCUGUCUUUGAAGCCAGGAGCCAUCUGCCUUCUUCCUGUGUUCCCAGCCCAUGGCCGACACAGCUGGUGCUCAACAAAUGUUUGCUAACCAAAGAGUGGGAGAGUAUGCCUCAAACUUCACCCUUCAUCUUUUUGGUAUAAGGCUGCUGAAGAGACCCCAAAGGGCCCAUGGCAACAAUCAAUCCAGAGACCAGCUUGCCAAGCUUCUGUUGGUUCGCUGGGAGAAUCCUGGAGCUUCUCUAACCACAGAUCAGCCUUUGGAUGAGGAAAUAUAAAGGCAUUCACUUCUGGUGGUUGUGAGAGCAUGCGGUGGGGGUAGGGAAGGCACUCAGGCAGGGGCCAGAAGCUCAAGUGACCUUGGUUAUGGCUGGGCGACACCAAAGGCCCUGGCAGUCUGCAGGGAAGUCUAUCCCCUGUCCGUGGGAACCUGGAGUCCCGGUACGACGGAAAUGCCGUUGAGACUGCUGGACGGGCCUCUGUCCAGACCACUCAGCCUUUCACCAGAGACUUUCAGUUUCAGUGGCGAGAGUGGUUUCUGAGUUGGAGAAAGAAGAAAGAGGGAGAGGAAAUUGACUGGGCUCCCAGGGUGAUGGGCCGGGCUUGUGGUUACCGAUGGAAACCUGGAGAAGUGUGCGGGCUACAUCAUUCUUUCUUUCAACAGACUCGGAGUGUCUGCCCUGGGCCAGGAACUCUGCCUGACCUCCCAGAUGAGUGUCAUUAUGAUGCUUAAAUGAGGUAAUCUAUUGAGGACCUAACCCAGACACCUGGGACACAGGAGGCACCUGUCAGUGGUGGGUGCCAUCAUUCUCCAUUCUCCUGAAGAUGCCAGGCUGUCUUAUCUCCAUCGUGCUAAGGAGGACAAGGCAGCAUCUCCAGUGCCCAGCACAGAACCCCAAUAAGUGCUUACUGAAGGAAUUGAAUAAUAACCAUUUGUUUAAGGACAGUGUCUUCACUUGAGCAAUACUUCAUAAAACUCCAGUGCACAGCAAAGUCUCUGCCAGAAGGUGGGAAAUGCACACUCCUAGGCCCACAGCCAGAGAUUCUGAUCCUGCUGUACUGGUGGGCCCAGGAACCCACGCUGUUAUAGCUCUUCAGGCAAUUCUGGAAUAACUGGUGUUCACUGUGAGAAGCUCUAACCCCAAUGGAAGAGAGAAGGGAACUCAUAGACAGAGCCGUAUGUGGGAACUGGAUGAAGAACUCAUUAUCCCCUGAGGUCAGGACGACUGUCUGAUAGAUGGUGCUGGAAAACUCCCUCACUCCAUGGAGAAAAAUGGAGACGUGAAUAGAGAAAGACCAGGUUCUUAACAGCCAUAUGAAGAUGGACUCCAGAUGAAUCAAAGCAUACCAUAAAAGGGAAAACUAGAACUCAAUUAAGGUAUAGGAGAAUAUCUUUAUGACUUCAGGAUAUGGAAGGAUUUCUUAAACAAAGCCCCCAAAACACACAAAAAUAAGGCAAAAUGGUGAAUUUCAGUAAAUCAAAAUUAAGGAUUUCUGUUCCAAGAAAUGUAGAUAAGCUUAAAGGAUAGAGGACAAAAUGGGAGCAUUGCAAUUUCUAAACCCGGCCAAGAAUCUAGAAUAUAUAACGGACUCCUAAAGAGCCCCAGGAAAAAGCAGCAACCACCAUUGGAAAACUGAGCAAAAAUGGGAGCCAGCAGUUUACAGAUGAGGAAACCCACAGGCUAAUGUAUGAAGAGAUGCUUACAUUUAUUGGUAA